UCUGUGAGCUGAUUCCACCAGUGACUGAGCACAGACCACCACCAUGGAGCUGGGGCUGCGCUGGGUUCUCCUUGUUGCUCUGUUGAAAGGUGUGCAGUGUGAGGUGCAGCUGGUGGAGUCUGGGGGAGGCUUGGUGCAGCCUGGGGGGUCCCUGAGACUCUCCUGUGCUGCCUCCGGAUUCGACUUCAGUAGUAAUUACAUGAGCUGGAUCCGCCAGGCUCCAGGGAAGAGGCCUGAGUGGCUCUCAUACAUCAGUAGUAGUAGUAGUAGCAUAAACUACGCAGACUCUGUGAAGGGCCGCUUCACCACCUCCAGAGACAACAGCAAGAACACACUUUACCUGCAGAUGAACAGCCUGAGAGUGGAGGACACGGCCGUCUAUUACUUUGCCAGAGACACACAGUGCAGGAAAUCCAGUUGUCUACUGGGGUCAGGUGUUGCUCAGGCAGGGGCUUCUGCAGACCUGGGGAACGUGCUGGUGCCACGUCUCAGCCUGCAUGCAUCAGCCCUCUCCUGCUGCUGA